AUCAGGUAGGACUACCCGCUGAACUUAAGCAUAUCAAUAAGCCGGAGGA
rnacentral:rRNA from 1 species